rnacentral:rRNA from 1 species
CCUACGGGGGGCUGCAGUGGGGAAUAUUGGACAAUGGGCGAAAGCCUGAUCCAGCCAUGCCGCGUGUGUGAAGAAGGCCUUCGGGUUGUAAAGCACUUUCAGUGGGGAAGAAAGCCUUGGGGCUAAUACCCUCGAGGAAGGACAUCACCCACAGAAGAAGCACCGGCUAACUCCGUGCCAGCAGCCGCGGUGAUACGGAGGGUGCGAGCGUUAAUCGGAAUUACUGGGCGUAAAGCGCGCGUAGGCGGUCUGAUAAGCCGGUUGUGAAAGCCCCGGGCUCAACCUGGGAACGGCAUCCGGAACUGUCAGGCUAGAGUGCAGGAGAGGAAGGUAGAAUUCCCGGUGUAGCGGUGAAAUGCGUAGAGAUCGGGAGGAAUACCAGUGGCGAAGGCGGCCUUCUGGACUGACACUGACGCUGAGGUGCGAAAGCGUGGGUAGCAAACAGGAUUAGAUACCCUAGUAGUC